GCCUCAGUGAUGUAGUGGUAGCACUCGCCCUUGGUAUGGGUGAAACGCGGGUUUAAUUCCCUCCUAAGGUC